UACCAGCACCCCGAGUGGUCGGGACGAUUAUUGGGCCUAAAGCAUCCUUAGCCGGUUUUACAAGUCCUCCGUUAAAUCCAGCUGCUUAACAGAUGGGCUGCGGAGGAUACUAUAAGACUAGGAGGCAGGAGAGGCAAGCGGUACUCAGUGGGUAGGGGUAAAAUCCGUUGAUCCAUUGAAGACCACCAGUGGCGAAGGCGGCUUGCCAGAAUGCGCUCGACGGUGAGGGAUGAAAGCUGGGGGAGCAAACCGG
rnacentral:rRNA from 1 species